AUUGGAUACACCAUUUCUAUACCAACCUCCAUCACAGGCUAACUUCAACCAAUCAUAUCACAUCUCCUGCCGAGGCCAGCGAGUACAAGAAAGACAAUUCUCAAGUUCUGAUUGACCUGAUAGUAUUGCAGCAUCAAUGCUCACCUCUGUACGACUUUCCACGUAACUACUCACAGGACACAGAUUUCCUAAACACUUGUGGUUGACAAGCCUGACAAGAUGGAUUUUUGUGUGGUCUUGUGAUCCCGCUAGAAUACGUCUGCUGUGGAAGGAACAAUGCAGACAAGCAGAAGUGAUUGUGUUCUGUGUCAACAUGACGUGACUGCAGCCCGAUGUUUGUGGCAAUAGAUGGGCCGUGCUGCCAUGGGAAAUCAAUUCCUUGGGUGUCAACACAGGAGAAUGAGAGCGGCCAUUGUGAGGUUCAGCCCUCGUUGUCUCCAAAGUUGGCAGCUGGGGGCUUAUGCUCAACUCCUCAGUUCAAACGUGACUCAAACCCACAGCCGUGGUGCAAGGAGAAUCCAAAAUGACGAGGACACUCAGCCUGUGAUUAGGGAGGUGUGCAGUCAGGGGAAUCCAUAAACAUAUCCGCGCAGACAUAACACUCAUCCGUACUCACACGCGUUCACACAGGAACACGCAUAUGUGUCAAAAUACCAGCGUGUACGCACGCUGUUUCACCGCUGAUGUCGACUCAUGGACAUUAACAAAGCGCGACAGUCAACAAAACAGCAAACACAGAAAGAGCUUUUUUUCCACAAGCCCGUGGUCACAUGCCCUCUCAAGAAAACUGCUGGAGAUACCCAACAAUAACAGAAAAAUACUGAAUUUUCUCUGUCUGUGACAAAUGAACAAUUUAUUAACUGUUUAAACAAUGCUGUAAAAACACAUUUAUGUUGGAUUGACUCUCCUGGUUUGUCUCGAUUUAUUGACGUCAUGAACACAGAAGAGCUACAUCAGGCACCAGAGCAUCUAGUUUUUCUACUGUGUGACAUAUUUCAUUAUUUGUAUAUUUGCUGC
ensembl:lncRNA